UCUCGAAAAACCAACACAUCUCUAUGUAAAUGUAAGGUUUUUCAGGUGUUUCAUUUACAAAUCAAUGCUUCCUUCGUGUUAAGACCAUUAGUUCUCUGAAGGCUCAGUUUACUGUGAUCUACACGAUGUGUGUUCUUUACGUACUCCCGCUCCUUGCUCUGUUGACUGUGGGAAACUGUUGUGUAGGGAUACCCCCCUCACCGGCAGACCAACAUACGAUCUUUGGGAAGUGGCUCUUCAUUGAGGGUUUUGCAGACCAUGAGAUGUUCAAUGCGGUACUGAGAAAGACCAACAGCUCCUGGAUUGAAAUCUUUCCAACAUCACACAAAGAGAGUCUUUUUCAAAAGAGGGAAACAUGAUUGAUGGAAAAUGCUUCCACUCCUCUGACAUGACCUUUUCCGAAAUACCUUUUCCAAACACCAUCCACCUCACACGACACUGCCGGAGUCAGAGCUGAAGAAUUUCCAGAAAGCAGCAGAAUGCCUCGAGUAUCCUCAGCCUGCACAGUAUUCCUACGACGGAGUCACAGGUCAUUAUUUACCCUGACCUACUCAUUAUAAAAAUUUAAAAAAGGGACACUAGGCAACAUUUAGUAUUGAUUUAGAAUGUCAUUUAUCAGUCUAGUAUAGAUCGCUAUUGGCCGUUUAUUAAAACCCUGUCCAAGUUCUCACUAACGUCUCCCCUCUUCUCUAUUGAGUUCUGCGCUGAGGAAAAGGAGAGCUCACACAUUGCAGAGUCUCAUGAUGAAAAGGAUGGUUCUUAGUGAUAUGGCUAAUGAUGAUGGAA